rnacentral:rRNA from 1 species
AGUGAACGCUGGCGGUAGGCCUAACACAUGCAAGUCGAACGGCAGCACAGUAAGAGCUUGCUCUUACGGGUGGCGAGUGGCGGACGGGUGAGGAAUACAUCGGAAUCUACUUUUUCGUGGGGGAUAACGUAGGGAAACUUACGCUAAAACCGCAUACGACCUACGGGUGAAAGCAGGGGAUCUUCGGACCUUGCGCGAUUGAAUGAGCCGAUGUCGGAUUAGAUAGUUGGCGGGGUAAAGGCCCACCAAGGCGGCGAUCCGUAGCUGGUCUGAGAGGAUGAUAGGCCACACGGGAACUGGAACACGGACAAGGGGACUACGAGAGGCAGCAGAGUGGAACGUGGGACAGUGGUGGGGAACAUUGCACAGUGGUCGGGAGUGGGAGAAGGAAGCGUUGGGGGUGUAAAGACGGUUUGUGGGGAGAGAAAAGCAGUCGGUUGAGACCAAGCGGGUGUGACGGUAACGAAUGAAGAAGCACCGGCUAACUUCGUG